ensembl:lncRNA
CGGCCGCUGGGUGUCGCUGUUUCAUCUCCGAGAGGCGGCGCGCAGCCACCUUUCUCGGGCCCGAGAUGAGGCGGUGGGGCCUUCGCGACACGGGAAGGAGCGGGCCUCGCAGCCUGCCCAGCACAGGUGCGUGAAGCGGCCCGUGUUGGCCGCACGGCUGAUACAGGAUCCGCGGGGACCGGCCGUGGCAGUGCAGGGCCCGGCCGUGCAGCCGUAAGUGAGCCGCAGUGCAGCCCUCUGCGAUAGGCUCGUGGAGCGUUGCAGUGGAUGAACCCAGCGCUGUGCUUGACCGGGGGGUUUCGGAACUAAAGGUGGAGUGCCUGAGCUGCGUGCACCACCCGUGCGCUCCGACCCGUUUAAUGAUUCCUAAAGCAGUUUUGGAGGUCAGCGAAGCCCCUGGCUGCUUGUCAGAAUCACGCAUAGAAACUGCAGGGUAUCUCUCCUCCCCCCCCCCCCCCCCCCCCCUUUCUCCCCCCCCUCCUUUCCCGGGGGGGCUUUGGGAAAAUAGGAGCCGUCGUGAACUUUUGAGCACCUACUGCACCAGGCAACUGCCGAACAGAUUUACCGAUCUCGCCUUUGUGCAGACUUGUUUUCCGAACGGCCGUAACGUGACGCUGUUUUGACAGCCUGGUGCUGAACCGCCCUGCCCUUCGCUGCCGUAUCCGCCAACAGAAGCAUCGCGCAGGUUGAAAGCGCUGGAAAUGGUGGGGAAAAAGAAAAAAAAAAUGUUAUUAAAGAUUUUAAUCCCCUACCGUGGCAAUGUCACACCUCCAGCCGGUCUAUUAAUCUGGAAUGUAGGAGGGGCCUUCUGCUGCCUUCUUUCUGCUCCUUCCUCUUUAAUGCAGUUCAAAAGCUGAUCCAGGGGAAAAUCCAACGGCUGCCUUCACCCCAAGUGGCUGAGCAAUCACAGCACUCCCAGGCUGGUUUCUCUCAGGACUCCGAACACCACAGGGCCACCUGUAGUACAACAGCUACUGCAUACAGAAAAAAAAAAGGACCAUCCAAGAUGUGAAUAAACCUUGGCAAUCUGUGUCUGCCAGGUCUGUCCUUCUGGAACCUCUGCAAUUCAUGUCUGAGCCCAACUCACUUGAUCUUAGAAAAACAGUAUUAAAUGAACGUUCGGAAACAUUAAGCAAGCAGCCCUUACACCACUACAAACCAGUUUGUGUUCCCACCGUGGUGAGCAGAGGAGCCACAGCUGAAUGGAAAUGGGAGCAGGAUGUGCAUGUCCAGGCCAGGAGUCACUCAGCACCAGGGGUAUAGUAUUUGGAUAACAAAUAAACCUUGCUGAAAGCCAACACCUGGCACAAAUGCGGAGAUCAGAAUCGGUAUUUCGCUGCUCAAGUGAAGCAAAACUUUCAUAAAUAGGUAAACUUGCCGUAAACAACCGUCCUCAUGUAGCAAAAGGAGAACCAGUGUUCGUGCUCUCUGAGCAGAAUAUCAGACGUGCAACCGUAAGGAGAAGCAAGCCCUCUGGAGUGUCCUCUUGGCCCCAUCUUGGGAAGAGAAGAGCAGGAAGAUGUACCUGUUGCAGCCUGCUGCCCAGAACAGCCACGCUCCCACAGCUGGUGCUUGGGACAGGACAUGCCCCACAGCACGGCUCUGACGCAGCCCCGCCAGCCAGCUGGCAGCCUGCGUGGCCACGGAGGUGGGGGUCUGCAGGGCUGCCUGCGACUGGCUUUGCAGUACAGCUGACUGCCACACGCUGCAGUACUUUCAGCUAGCUAUAGCAGUGCUUAGGGACCAGCUGUGAUAUCCCACCUGCUCCUAGCAAGGGCAGGGUAGAUCAUCCCGGAGAAAAUGGCUUGCAUGCUGUACAGAGAACACGGCACAGCACAGGGAGAUACUAAAGUGAGGUGAAGCAAGCUGCAGGGCUUCCACAGGUGGGAUACUGCAGAGUUCACAGGCCGUUUGCUAUAAACACUAUGGUUAUUGCUGUUUUAAGAGAAGGCAUAACGCAAACCAAACCACAACUACCUUUCAGCGCAGCAGUCCCACUUAAAAAAAACUUUCCAAACCAAAGGUCGGGAGGCACAAGUGUCAAUCUGUAACAGAAGGGUUGAGGAGGAUGCUUUAAUGAACUGUAGCUGUCUUUGAGUCACAGGCAACCCUUCCAGCUACUGUGCUCCCAUACUGCCGAUUGAGAAGCAUUCUCUUCUUCCAAAUCCAAACCACCGCUUGUGGUUUCACAUGGCCUCAUUAGACAGGUUGCUGAUAGUCUUUCUUGGCAUAGAUUUGCUGGGAUUUUGAUGCACAGAAGGAGCACAGUUGUGCUGAGUGCUUCAUAGGCCACCAAUGGCGUACUGACUGUUGACGUCUGCACCCUAAUCUGGUGUGCGUAUGGUCACGUGAGCCCUUGGAGCUUUGUACCUUUUUCUGUGCAGAUGGUGGAUUAUGAACACCAGCAGAAGGGGUCACGCUGUUCUCAGAUCUCUCCAUUCUUCCCAGCAACCUCCUGGUUGCACGUUAGAAAAACGUUCUGCAGUGCCCACAACCCAGACCUUCUCUCUCUUCCUUGAAAGCGUUGACACAAUCUUCUGCUGCUGCGAGCAUCUUGAUUAUUGUGAUAAAGCAUCACACAACUUUGAAACUUUCACCAAAAAAUCAUCAGAAAAUACGCAAAUAAGUAAAAAUGGGGAAGAGUAUAUUUGACAUUAAUGCAGUGGCUGUUUCUGUUCGCUCUGUUGGCAAACAGUGCAUGAAGCACUAUUAGCCUUCUCAGAUUCACUCUCUGCUUGAACCGUCUGUCAAGGAUCUGGAAAAUUCUGUCUUAGUUUUUGAGUAUUUCUAAGUAGUUCAUUCUGUCUGACAAGAUAAUAAGAGGCCAGGGCAUUUUAGAUUCUCUGAUUAACUGGAGUAUAUCCAAAUCCUUUUCUGGGGAAUUAUUUCUUGCACAAGUGAAUUUGAAGCAUGUUUUGUAAGGUAUUUGCAAAUGGCUCUUGAACUGCUGCUUCAAUUAAGGCUUCAAGGAAAGCUCACUUCUCAGAGCACUUGAAACACACAGGCAUGUAGGUGGCAGGAAAAGGCCAGUCUUCUCCCCACUCAUAUCUAGGCAACACAAAGUUAAUUCUUCUAUCUAAUCAGAUAGUGACAUGUGAACAGAUAUUUAAAAUUGCUUAGUACCUCAUCCUUUAUGGGUAGUUUGAUAUCAGAAAACCUAAAUAAUUGAACUUUUCCCUCAUGUUUUGAUAAUUGAGUUAUCCAAAAGGGUCGCAGACUCAGCCACAGUAAGUUACGGAAACUGUAAGCAGAAAUUUACUGACAUUCUUCAGCCAUCUGUUUAGCUCACUAUAGGAUCAGUGCAGUGAAAUUGUUUCAGUAUGAGCAGUUCAGUGGUUCCUAUAUAACCCUGAAGCCUUUUAAAACUCUAAG